GGAAAACAUACAAAUGAUUAAUGUACAUACCGAUCUUCAUUAGUUCUCAAAAGCAGGUAACAGAUUGAUUUUUCUUAUUUCCUAGGCUUAUGUGAACAGAAGAAGAAUUUGUUUACUAAAGGUCGAAUUCAACUUUAUAAAGCAAUCAAAAGUGAAAAAAGGAAAUAUUCUGCUUAUUGAUAAGGAAGCCACAACGAACUCUACUGAUACACAAUAAUCUUCUUACACAUGCCUUCUGUAUUAUUAGUUUCCAACAAAUCCAUUAAAUAACAUGAUCUGUCCUCCAAUUACAAUUAUGGCAAGAGGAUUACGUUUUGAUAGGUUAAAUUGGAUAAUAAUGAAGUUCAUCCUUAUCUUAUUCUCAUUGAUUUCCUCACCCUUUGGCCAAUUAUAAGCAAAAGCUGAGGAAAUACUUGAUGCAUGAGAAGAAUUUAUUUUCCGUAAAUUUUAGAAUUUUUUAGUUUUCGGGGGCAUUUAAAUAGCUUCACAAAACAUCACAAUCUCAUCAUUAUUCAGUAGAUUGAAUUGUCAGAUAACCAAUGUCAAAACAAGGAAAAUUUUCAGUUUUCAAAAGACAAAGCUAGCAAGUAUAUCUUUUAUGGUGAUAAUUGCUGAAUUCUUAAAUUAAUACCAGACUAAUAAACAAAGAAGGAGAACGAUUAUUUUCACUCCAUUUAUU
rnacentral:misc_RNA from 1 species